rnacentral:rRNA from 1 species
UACGUAGGGGGCAAGCGUUAUCCGGAAUUACUGGGUGUAAGGGGAGCGUAGACGGUAAUGUAAGUCUGGAGUGAAAGGCGGGGGCCCAACCCCCGGACUGCUCUGGAAACUAUGUUACUAGAGUGCAGGAGAGGUAAGCGGAAUUCCUAGUGUAGCGGUGAAAUGCGUAGAUAUUAGGAGGAACACCAGUGGCGAAGGCGGCUUACUGGACUGUAACUGACGUUGAGGCUCGAAAGCGUGGGGAGCAAACAGG